UACGGGGGGGGCAAGCGUUGUUCGGAAUUACUGGGCGUAAAGGGCUCGUAGGUGGCCAACUAAGUCGGACGUGAAAUCCCUCGGCUUAACCGGGGAACUGCGUCCGAUACUGGUUGGCUUGAGUUUGGGAGAGGGAUGCGGAAUUCCAGGUGUAGCGGUGAAAUGCGUAGAUAUCUGGAGGAAUACCGGUGGCGAAGGCGGCAUCCUGGACCGGCAUUGACGCUGAUGAGCGAAAGCUAGGGGAGCAAACGGG
rnacentral:rRNA from 1 species